rnacentral:lncRNA from 1 species
UUUUCCUAAUCGGACAUACGGUUCAAAAGUUACGGUUGUUCAAAAUUUCCAAUUCAUCCCCCCUUUUUUAUCCAAGAUGGCCGCCAUUUAAUUAGACAUUGAAGUCCCUUUUGGAAGGUUAAUAUUGAUCCACAUUGACAUAUAUCAACCACAUAUUGCUUGUUUUCUGAUAGUGUAUACCACAUUCUAUUAUAGUACAGUUUAGAAUAGUCCAUGAUUUGCUCUCAAAAAAUUUAAAUGCUGCACAAAAUACCAUAAAGUGCUGUUUUCUG